AUUGAACGCUGGCGGCAUGCCUUACACAUGCAAGUCGAACGGCAGCACGGGUGCUUGCACCUGGUGGCGAGUGGCGAACGGGUGAGUAAUACAUCGGAACAUGUCCUGUAGUGGGGGAUAGCCCGGCGAAAGCCGGAUUAAUACCGCAUACGAUCUACGGAUGAAAGCGGGGGACCUUCGGGCCUCGCGCUAUAGGGUUGGCCGAUGGCUGAUUAGCUAGUUGGUGGGGUAAAGGCCUACCAAGGCGACGAUCAGUAGCUGGUCUGAGAGGACGACCAGCCACACUGGGACUGAGACACGGCCCAGACUCCUACGGGAGGCAGCAGUGGGGAAUUUUGGUCAAAGGGCGAAAGCCUGAUCCAGCAAUGCCGCGUGUGUGAAGAAGGCCUUCGGGUUGUAAAGCACUUUUGUCCGGAAAGAAAUCCUUGGCCCUAAUACGGUCGGGGGAUGACGGUACCGGAAGAAUAAGCACCGGCUAACUACGUG
rnacentral:rRNA from 1 species